GAUGUGGUGGCCGAGUGGUUAAGGCGUGAGGUGCAGGUUGUAACAUCAGCACCUCCUCAUGAGCUCUGCUCUCGCAGGUUCGAAUCCUGUCCACGUCG